rnacentral:rRNA from 1 species
AUUGAACGCUGGCGGCAGGCUUAACACAUGCAAGUCGAACGAGUGGCGGACGGGUGAGUAAUGCUUGGGAAUCUAGCUUAUGGAGGGGGAUAACUACGGGAAACUGUAGAUACUACCGCGUACCAUAGGAUGAGCCCAAGUGGGAUGAGGUAGUUGGUGAGGUAAAGGCGCACCAAGCCGACGAGCGCUAGCUGGUCUGCGAGGUUGAGCAGCCACACUGGGACUGAGACACGGCCCAGACUCCUACGGGAGGCAGCAGUGGGGAAUCUUGCGUAAUGGGGGCAACCUGACGCAGCCAUGCCGCGUGAAUGAAGAAGGCCUUCGGGUUGUAAAGUUCUUUCGGUAGCGAGGCGUUAACUACCGAAGAAGCACCGGCUAACUCCGUGCCAGCAGCCGCGGUAAUUC